rnacentral:rRNA from 1 species
CAAGCCUGGUGCCAGCAGCCGCGGUAACUCCAGCUCCAAUAGCGUAUAUUAAAGUUGUUGCGGUUAAAAAGCUCGUAGUUGAAUCUGUGUCCCACACUGUCGGUUCACCGCUCGCGGUGUCCAACUGGCAUGUCUGUGGGACGUCCUGCCGGUGGGCGCAGCCCCUCAAAAGGCGGCCCAACUCAAAAUCCUACCACGGUGCUCUUCACCGAGUGUCGAGGUGGGCCGGUACGUUUACUUUGAACAAAUUAGAGUGCUUAAAGCAGGCUCAUUCGCCUGAAUAUUCUGUGCAUGGAAUAAUGGAAUAGGACCUCGGUUCUAUUUUGUUGGUUUUCGGAACUCCGAGGUAAUGAUUAAUAGGGACAACUGGGGGCAUUCGUAUUGCGACGUUAGAGGUGAAAUUCUUGGAUCGUCGCAAGACGGACAGAAGCGAAAGAAAUGUGUUUUCAUCAAUCAAGAACGAAAGUUAGAGGUUCGAAGGCGAUCAGAUACCGCCCUAGUUCUAACCAUAAACGAUGCCAGCUAGCGAUCCGCCGAAGUUCCUCCGAUGACUCGGCGGGCAGCUUCCGGGAAACCAAAGCUUUUGGGUUCCGGGGGAAGUAUGGUUGCAAAGCUGAAACUUAAAGGAAUUGACGGAAGGGCACCACCAGGAGUGGAGCCUGCGGCUU